GACGAACGCUGGCGGCGUGCCUAAUACAUGCAAGUCGAACGCAGUGGGGACGGGUGAGUAACACGUUGGUAACCUCCCAUCAGAGGGGAUAACACUUGGAAACAGGUGCUAAACCGAUACUGAUGGAUGGACCCGCGGUGCAGUAGCUAGUGGGUGAGGUAACGGCUCACCAAGGCCACGAUGCAUAGCGGGCCUGAGAGGGCGAUCGGCCACAAUGGGACUGAGAUACGGCCCAGACUCCUACGGGAGGCAGCAGUAGGGAAUCUGCGGCAAUGGACGAAAGUCGGACAGAGAAACGCCGCGUGAGUGAAGAAGGGCCUCGGAGCGUAAAACUCUGUUGUUAGAGAAGCGGUAUCUAACCAGAAAGCCACGGCUAACUACGUGCCAGCAGCCGCGGUAAUUC
rnacentral:rRNA from 1 species